UUUAUCAGAGAGUUUGAUCCUGGCUCAGGAUGAACGCUGGCGGCGUGCUUAACACAUGCAAGUCGAACGGGAAACAUUUUAUUGAAGCUUCGGCAGAUUUAGCUUGUUUCUAGUGGCGGACGGGUGAGUAACGCGUGGGUAACCUGCCUUAUACUGGGGGAUAACAGCCAGAAAUGACUGCUAAUACCGCAUAAGCGCACAGAACCGCAUGGUUCGGUGUGAAAAACUCCGG
rnacentral:rRNA from 1 species